rnacentral:rRNA from 1 species
GACGAACGCUGGCGGCGUGCUUAACACAUGCAAGUCGAACGGAAAGGCCCUGCUUGCAGGGUACUCGAGUGGCGAACGGGUGAGUAACACGUGGGUGAUCUGCCCUGCACUUCGGGAUAAGCCUGGGAAACUGGGUCUAAUACCGGAUAGGAGCCAUCUUUAGUGUGGUGGUUGGAAAGUUUUUUCGGUGUAGGAUGAGCUCGCGGCCUAUCAGCUUGUUGGUGGGGUAAUGGCCUACCAAGGCGGCGACGGGUAGCCGGCCUGAGAGGGUGUACGGCCACACUGGGGCUGUGAGACAGGCCACAGUCGGACAGGGGGCGGAAGAGGGGAAAAUUGCACAAUGGGGGCAAGCGUGAGGCAGCGACGCCGCGGGGGGGAUGAAGGCCGUCGGGUUGUAAACACCUAUCGCUAGGGACGAAGCGAUUUUGUGACGGUACCUAGAUAAGAAGCACCGGCUAACUACGUG